rnacentral:rRNA from 1 species
CCUACGGGAGGCAGCAGUGGGGAAUAUUGGGCAAUGGACGAGAGUCUGAACCAGCCAAGUAGCGUGAAGGAUGACUGCCCUAUGGGUUGUAAACUUCUUUUAUAUGGGAGUAAGAUGUUCCACGUGUAGGAUUGUGUAUGUACCAUAUGAAUAAGGAACGGCUAACUCAGUGCCAGCAGAGGCGGUAAUACGGAGGAUCCGAGCGUUAUCCGGAUUUAUUGGGUUUAAAGGGAGCGUAGGUGGAUUGUUAAGUCAGUUGUGAAAGUUUGCGGCUCAACCGUAAAAUUGCAGUUGAAACUGGCAGUCUUGAGUACAGUAGAGGUGGGCGGAAUUCCUGGUGUAGCGGUGAAAUGCUUAGAUAUCACGAAGAACUCCGAUUGCGAAGGCAGCUCAUUGGACUUCAACUGACACUGAGGCUCGAAAGUGUGGGUAGCAAACAGGAUUAGAUACCCGAGUAGUC